GGCAACCUGCUGGGGUCUCCUUCCGCAUUGUGGCUGCUUUGUUCUUUCGCUCUUUGCAGUAAAUCUUGCUACUGCUCAGUCUUUGGGUCCACGCUGCUUUUAUGAGCUGUAACACUCACCGCGAAGAUCUGCAGUUUCACUCCUGAACCCAGCAAGACCACGAGCCCACCGGGAGAAACAAACAACUCCAGACGUGCUACCUUAAGAGCUGUAACACUCACCGUGAAGGUCUGCAGCUUCACUCCUGGAGCCAGUGAGCCCACGAGCCCACCGGGAGGAACGAAAGACUCCAGACGCGCUGCCUUAAGGGCUGUAACACUAACCGUGAAGGUCUGUAGCUUCACUCCUCAGCCAGCGAGACCACGAACCCACCAGAAGGAAGAAACUCCAAACACAUCUGAACAUCAGAAGGGGCAGACUCCAGACGCGCCACCUUAAGAGCUGUAACACUCACCGCGAGGGUCCGUGGCUUCAUUCUUGAAGUCAGUGAGAGCAAGAACCCACCAAUUCCGGACACACUUCCACAUCUUCAGGCAGGAUACAGUUGGAAACAUUGGUUAUA
rnacentral:lncRNA from 1 species